GGGGCCGUCAUGGUUUUGACGGAGGAGAAUCAACUUAAUGGCUGCAGUGGUCUGGUAAACCUAAAGACCAAACCAAAAUAACUGACAAUAACGUCAAACCCUGGAUGGUGCGUUCCAACGCCGCCGUCCUCGCUCGCGCUUAAUUAAGCACCCACCUUUGCGGUUCCGCGGUAGCGGACGAGCACGCUCCCCACGCUUUCUCACCCCGGGCGUGGACGAGUGCCAUAUAGAGGUGAUGGUGGGCUGACUCGGCUUAACUCAUCCCACGAGAUCUCUUAGCCUCGCCUAGCGCAUUGGGCACCGUUAUCGGCGCUAGGUCAAACCAUAACGACGCCUAAACUGUAGGCGCUGUUAGGGGGACUCCUUCGGACCUGGGUUCGAUUCCCAGCGACUCCACCA
rnacentral:tmRNA from 1 species